rnacentral:sRNA from 1 species
UUGAAGAAGAGCUUUAAAUGACAUCUUUCAGUGGACUGCUAGGGACUAUGUCCUCAUUUGUUCUUCCUGUAAAGAAUUUCUGUCGUUGCUUUUCUGCUACUCAAAUUAUAUCACAAAAGAAGUUAUCCUGUAUGUUAGAAGAUAGAAGCAUCUUACGUGGACCCUUUUCCUGCUGAUCAUCCUAACAGGCAAGGUUCUGGUCAGCAUGAUGCAUGUCUCGAGUUUUAUGAGCACUUGGGAAUCACCAGGACAGUGCUGAAUGAUGACCGUCAUCCUGUUCAAUAGUAGUGCUUGCUGCUCUCUUCUUUUCUCUACACUCAGGGUCAUAAAGAGCUAAUAGGUGUUUUACAUCAUCUCUAUAGCAGAGUGGAAAUGUGAUUUACUACUUUUGACCUCAUCAUAGAAUAAUGAGUGCCCAACUUAAAUACCUGUCUAAAAUUGAUGUAUGGCCUUCCCAUAAUGUCCUCUUGAAUGUGAUGACACUCUUUUGUUACUAAGCUGAAAUCAGAAUAAUGUUUUAAGAUAACUUAUUUAAGAUUACACAUCAAUUGUAGAGCUCAAGCCACAGAGAUCUUUGUACCCUCUUUUUCGUGUGUUUCAGUAAGCUGUUUCUUGUCUGUUUUAUUACCAUUGAGAGAAAAAAAAACAAUCCCCGGGAUAUUUCAAGGUAGUUACUGACAAAUUGAAGUCGCAAACUCCUCAUCCAUCAGCAGGUUCAUGCACGGGUUCUUGUUUGCUUUGUGUCUCAGGGGACAAUAAGAAGCACAGCCUUGUGGGUACUUAACUCAAGCUGACUGUCAAUCUGUUUCUCUUAGUUGCCCAUGUUAUCAAAUUUAUAAAUUGUCUAUCUUUCAGUCAUCUGCAGCCUCACUUUGAUCCUGCUGCUGAGGCAGGCUAAAGCUCACCUUCACCCUGGACCUGCUCAUGAUACGCAGAUGAGAAUAGCAGCACAUGCCAGAGUUCCCCUGCCAUACUUUCUUAACUUAAAGUAACACGGAAAAAUGAUUUCAUGUUUAACACCAGGCUCUCACAGCAAUAACCUUGCUUCAGUCUAAAUUUCCUUUCAUUAGUAUGUGGUCUCUAUCAAAUCUGUAAAGGCUGACUCAGUCUUCCUUCAAAUAGCAAUCCACCAUUGGUCAAAACAAAGAAAACAACUGAUAUGUGGUACCCAACGCCAGCUGAUACAUCUACAAUACAACUCAACAUCUAAGAUUUCCAACAUUAUGGCAGAGGGAAAGAAAGAAAGAAUGUAACAGUCAGAGGACCAGGACAUCUGCUCCAAGAAAUGUACAUCCAUCAACUCUCAACAAUAUGGUCAUCUAGAUAAUAACUGAACACCAGUGGACAAUCCAAGGUAAAUGAGGGGAAAUCUCACAAGGCUCUACUCCUAGACGAAGAGGUAUAAAAAAUUAAAGGCUUCCAAGAGAAGGAGAAUCAAUCUUUUCUAGGAAUGGUACCCCUAAAGGGUUGUUUAGUCUCAAAUUUUCAAACCUAAUCUAUAGACACAUGAGCAAACUAAAUGGAUUCAUCAGGCUAUUUGUAUGUGUGUGUGGGUUGCUCUCUGUGUGUAGCAAUAAUAGUUCAAAAGGAAGAGAGUGAGUGGAAGGGAGAAUGGGAGAGCAGUU